ACGGUCAAAAUAAUCACAUCUCUGAUAUUCACUUUUAUCUGCCUAUUCAAUUUAUCACACGUACAAAGAUCAUAGCCACUUUCAAGCAACUAAGCAACUUUCUCACUCUCUUGUAAUUUCAGGUGAUUUGGAUCGGUUCAGUUUGCCUAGCAAAAUUCAACCCUACAAUCUAAUCGAGAACUUGAAAGACUAUUUAUCUAUAUUUAAUGCCAAGGAGAGUAAAAGUAAGCCUCAGAAUGAGAGUGAUUCCUCGGUAGAAUGAAUUGGCAGCAACGGUUAUGUAACAAAC